GGUCGCUCCUGCGCAUGCGCGGCCGCCAUGAGGGACAGGACGCGGGAACCGCGCCAGAAUGGGCUUGUCUCCCGUCAUUUUUACACAAAAAUGGUGACCUCGACGUGAUAGGCGCCACGGUGGAGUGAGGAAAAAGAGUUCAGUGCUGAAUUGAAAUAGAGUGCACCGUGCCCCAGGUGACUGCAGAGGCAAGCCUGGCCGAUACGUGCUGCCGACGACCUCGGAGGGCUGCAACAGCGCUGACAAUAGAGAUGUCGUGGAUGUGCUGGCUGUUCUGAUGGAGGGCAGUGGUGGCUUAGAUGAAGAAAUUUGGUUCUCUUAAAUGUUGUCCCUGCUGCAUUAGAAGCCAGGAAUAUGCUUUGCUUCAGUCUGAAAACGGAACAGGAGCAGAUGAUGUGGAGUACCUUGGUGCUGUUUUCACUGGCCUCCUGCACUCUCUGAGAGAACCCCUUGCUCCCUGCGUGACGUUCCAGCUCUGUGACAAAGCUGCUAAGUAUCCUCAGCUCUACCAGUUUAACCUAUACUGUAGACUCUGGAUGCCCAAGCAGUCCCAGGAACCUGUGGUAUGGAAUCCCUGA
rnacentral:lncRNA from 1 species